rnacentral:rRNA from 1 species
AAUCCAUAGGUUAAUGAGGCGAACCGGGGGAACUGAAACAUCUAAGUACCCCGAGGAAAAGAAAUCAACCGAGAUUCCCCCAGUAGCGGCGAGCGAACGGGGAGGAGCCCAGAGCCUGAAUCAGCAUGUGUGUUAGUGGAAGCGUCUGGAAAGGCGCGCGAUACAGGGUGACAGCCCCGUACACAAAAGCGCAUGUGCUGUGAGCUCGAUGAGUAGGGCGGGACACGUGGUAUCCUGUCUGAAUAUGGGGGGACCAUCCUCCAAGGCUAAAUACUCCUGACUGACCGAUAGUGAACCAGUACCGUGAGGGAAAGGCGAAAAGAACCCCGGCGAGGGGAGUGAAAAAGAACCUGAAACCGUGUACGUACAAGCAGUGGGAGCACCCUUCGGGGUGUGACUGCGUACCUUUUGUAUAAUGGGUCAGCGACUUAUAUUCUGUAGCAAGGUUAACCGUAUAGGGGAGCCGGAGGGAAACCGAGUCUUAAUUGGGCGUUAAGUUGCAGGGUAUAGACCCGAAACCCGGUGAUCUAGCCAUGGGCAGGUUGAAGGUUGGGUAACACUAACUGGAGGACCGAACCGACUAAUGUUGAAAAAUUAGCGGAUGACCUGUGGCUGGGGGUGAAAGGCCAAUCAAACCGGGAGAUAGCUGGUUCUCCCCGAAAGCUAUUUAGGUAGCGCCUCGUGAAUUCAUCUCCGGGGGUAGAGCACUGUUUCGGCUAGGGGGCCAUCCCGGCUUACCAACCCGAUGCAAACUGCGAAUACCGGAGAAUGUUAUCACGGGAGACACACGGCGGGUGCUAACGUCCGUCGUGAAGAGGGAAACAACCCAGACCGCCAGCUAAGGUCCCAAAGUCAUGGUUAAGUGGGAAACGAUGUGGGAAGGCCCAGACAGCCAGGAUGUUGGCUUAGAAGCAGCCAUCAUUUAAAGAAAGCGUAAUAGCUCACUGGUCGAGUCGGCCUGCGCGGAAGAUGUAACGGGGCUAAACCAUGCACCGAAGCUGCGGCAGCGAACGUAUCACCCAAGACAACUUUACGGAGUUGACGAUUGACGGAGCGAAGCGACGUCAAAGCGUUCAUUAAAGUCGAGUUGGCUUAGGGAUACGUUCGUUGGGUAGGGGAGCGUUCUGUAAGCCUGUGAAGGUGUGUCGUGAGGCAUGCUGGAGGUAUCAGAAGUGCGAAUGCUGACAUAAGUAACGAUAAAGCGGGUGAAAAGCCCGCUCGCCGGAAGACCAAGGGUUCCUGUCCAACGUUAAUCGGGGCAGGGUGAGUCGACCCCUAAGGCGAGGCCGAAAGGCGUAGUCGAUGGGAAACGGGUUAAUAUUCCCGUACUUGGUGUUACUGCGAAGGGGGGACGGAGAAGGCUAUGUUGGCCGGGCGACGGUUGUCCCGGUUUAAGCGUGUAGGUGUGUGUUCCAGGUAAAUCCGGUUCACUUUAACACUGAGGCGUGACGACGAGGCACUACGGUGCUGAAGCAACAAAUGCCCUGCUUCCAGGAAAAGCCUCUAAGCAUCAGGUAACACGAAAUCGUACCCCAAACCGACACAGGUGGUCAGGUAGAGAAUACCAAGGCGCUUGAGAGAACUCGGGUGAAGGAACUAGGCAAAAUGGUGCCGUAACUUCGGGAGAAGGCACGCUGACACGUAGGUGAAGUGAUUUACUCAUGGAGCUGAAGUCAGUCGAAGAUACCAGCUGGCUGCAACUGUUUAUUAAAAACACAGCACUGUGCAAACACGAAAGUGGACGUAUACGGUGUGACGCCUGCCCGGUGCCGGAAGGUUAAUUGAUGGGGUCAGCGCAAGCGAAGCUCCUGAUCGAAGCCCCGGUAAACGGCGGCCGUAACUAUAACGGUCCUAAGGUAGCGAAAUUCCUUGUCGGGUAAGUUCCGACCUGCACGAAUGGCGUAAUGAUGGCCAGGCUGUCUCCACCCGAGACUCAGUGAAAUUGAACUCGCUGUGAAGAUGCAGUGUACCCGCGGCAAGACGGAAAGACCCCGUGAACCUUUACUAUAGCUUGACACUGAACAUUGAGCCUUGAUGUGUAGGAUAGGUGGGAGGCUUUGAAGUGUGGACGCCAGUCUGCAUGGAGCCGACCUUGAAAUACCACCCUUUAAUGUUUGAUGUUCUAACGUGGACCCGUAAUCCGGGUUGCGGACAGUGUCUGGUGGGUAGUUUGACUGGGGCGGUCUCCUCCUAAAGAGUAACGGAGGAGCACGAAGGUUGGCUAAUCCUGGUCGGACAUCAGGAGGUUAGUGCAAUGGCAUAAGCCAGCUUGACUGCGAGCGUGACGGCGCGAGCAGGUGCGAAAGCAGGUCAUAGUGAUCCGGUGGUUCUGAAUGGAAGGGCCAUCGCUCAACGGAUAAAAGGUACUCCGGGGAUAACAGGCUGAUACCGCCCAAGAGUUCAUAUCGACGGCGGUGUUUGGCACCUCGAUGUCGGCUCAUCACAUCCUGGGGCUGAAGUAGGUCCCAAGGGUAUGGCUGUUCGCCAUUUAAAGUGGUACGCGAGCUGGGUUUAGAACGUCGUGAGACAGUUCGGUCCCUAUCUGCCGUGGGCGCUGGAGAACUGAGGGGGGCUGCUCCUAGUACGAGAGGACCGGAGUGGACGCAUCACUGGUGUUCGGGUUGUCAUGCCAAUGGCACUGCCCGGUAGCUAAAUGCGGAAGAGAUAAGUGCUGAAAGCAUCUAAGCACGAAACUUGCCCCGAGAUGAGUUCUCCCUGAGACUUAGAGUCUCCUGAAGGAACGUUGAAGACGACGACGUUGAUAGGCCGGGUGUGUAAGCGCAGCGAUGCGUUGAGCUAACCGGUACUAAUGAACCGUGAGGCUUAACCUUACA